rnacentral:rRNA from 1 species
UAGUCCACGCCGUAAACGAUGAGAACUAGCCGUAGGGAUCGUAUAGAUUUUUGUGGCGCAGUUAACGCAAUAAGUUCCUCCGCCUGGGGAGUACGGCCGCAAGGUUAAAACUCAAAUGAAUUGGACGGGGGCCCGCACAAGCGGUGGAGCAUGUGGUUUAAUUCGAUGCAACGCGAAGAACCUUACCUACCCUUGACAUCCCAACGAAUCUUGCAGAGAUGCAGGAGUGCCUUCGGGAACGUGGUGACAGGUGCUGCAUGGCUGUCGUCAGCUCGUGUUGUGAAAUGUUGGGUUAAGUCCCGUAACGAGCGCAACCCUUGUCCUUAGUUGCCAGCGAUUCGGUCGGGGACUCUAAGGAGACUGCCGGUGACAAACCGGAGGAAGGUGGGGACGACGUCAAGUCAUCAUGGCCCUUACGGGUAGGGCUACACACGUGCUACAAUGGCCAGUACAAAGGGCAGCCAAGCGGCGACGCGGAGCUAAUCCCAUAAAGCUGGUCGUAGUCCGGAUUGCAGUCUGCAA